rnacentral:rRNA from 1 species
GACAGAGGUCCCGAGCGUUAGGCGGAAUCACUGGGCUUAAAGCGUGUGUAGGCGGAUCUGUAAGUACCUUGUGAAAUCCCACGGCUUAACCGUGGAACUGCUCGGUAUACUGCGGAUCUUGAGCCACCUAGGGGCAACCGGAACAAGUGGUGGAGCGGUGAAAUGCGUAGAUAUCACUUGGAACGCCAAUGGAGAAAUCAGGUUGCUGGGGGUGUGCUGACGCUGAGACACGAAAGCCAGGGGAGCGAACGGG